GACUGUACAAAGGUAGCAUAAUCACUUGUCUUUUAAUUGAAGGCUGGUAUGAAUGGUUGGAUGAAAAAUAUACUUUCUUUAUUUUAUAUAAAAAAUUUAAUUUUUUAGUUAAAAAACUAAAAUAAUGUUAUAGGACGAGAAGACCCUAUAGAACUUUAUUAUAUAAUUUAUAUAAUUUUUCAGUUUAUUAUGAAAUAAUAUUUUAAAAUUAAUUUUGUUGGGGUGAUAGAAAAAAUUAUUAAACUUUUUCUAAUUAAUACAUAUAUUGAUGUAUAUUUGAUCCUAAAUUUUGGAUAAAAAGAUUAAGUUACCUUAGGGAUAACAGCGUUAUUUUUUCGGAAAGUUCAUAUUGAUGAAAAAGUUUGCGACCUCGAUGUUGGAUUAAAAUAAGUAGUGGGGGUAGAAUAUCAUUAUUCUAGGUCUGUUCGACCUUUAAAUUUUUACA
rnacentral:rRNA from 1 species